AAGUAAACCAACAUCAAAAUAGUCAACAAAAGAAAAACAACUUACCAAAACCAAGAUGGCGGCCUACAUAUGGCGUCCUCUACUACCUCUUCCUGGCCCAUGGCAUCAAAAUAUGAUAAAGCUCACCAAUCGCCUUCGGGCAUCGAGCCGACCGUGCGAGGGCUGUUUAGCCAGUCAAGGUCGUUAAACACUUCCAUAUAUAUAAUCUAUGACCCUCUCACCCAAAGCAAGAACGCUACCACGAGACCA
rnacentral:lncRNA from 1 species